rnacentral:rRNA from 1 species
GACGAACGCUGGCGGCGUGCUUAACACAUGCAAGUCGAACGGAAAGGCCCUGCUUUUGUGGGGUGCUCGAGUGGCGAACGGGUGAGUAACACGUGAGUAACCUGCCCUUGACUUUGGGAUAACUUCAGGAAACUGGGGCUAAUACCGGAUAGGAGCUCCUGCUGCAUGGUGGGGGUUGGAAAGUUUCGGCGGUUGGGGAUGGACUCGCGGCUUAUCAGCUUGUUGGUGGGGUAGUGGCUUACCAAGGCUUUGACGGGUAGCCGGCCUGAGAGGGUGACCGGCAACAUUGGGACUGAGAUACGGACCAGACUCCAACGGGAGGCAGCAGUGGGGAAUAUUGCAAAAUGGGCGGAAGCCUGAUGCAGAAACGCCGCGUGCGGGAUGACGGCCUUCGGGUUGUAAACCGCUUUCGCCUGUGACGAAGCGUGAGUGACGGUAAUGGGUAAAGAAGCACCGGCUAACUACGUG